UGUUAAACCAUUAUAAUCAAAUGCCUU
rnacentral:sRNA from 1 species